rnacentral:rRNA from 1 species
UACGACUACAUAUCAGGCAUAUCAUAAGCGGAGGAAAAGAAACUAACUAGGAUUCCCUUAGUAACGGCGAGUGAAGCGGGAAGAGCUCAAAUUUGAAUCUUCAAGGUUUUACCUUGACGAAUUGUAGUUAAAAGAAGUGUUUUCUGUUGAAGUUUCGGUAAAAGUUCUUUGGAAUAGGACAUCAUAGAGGGUGAGAAUCCCGUAUUUGACCAUUUCUUCCAGCUGUGUGAUACACUUUCAAAGAGUCGGAUUGUUUGGGAAUGCAGUCCAAAAUGGGUGGUAAAUUUCAUCUAAAGCUAAAUAUUGGCGAGAGACCGAUAGCGAACAAGUACCGUGAGGGAAAGAUGAAAAGAACUUUGAAAAGAGAGUUAAACAGUACGUGAAAUUGUCAAAAGGGAAGCGUUUGACACCAGUGUUGUUUUCUCGAAAAUCAAUUAAAAAUGACCGGAUUUUGUGUUGUAUUGACUUUAUCAGCUUUCUGCACUUUUUUCUUGUCUUUUUUAAUGCACUUUUCGUUUAACAAGUCAACAUCAAGUUCUUUUGUUGUAAAAGGGUCAUGAGGAAGGUGGCUUUCUUUUCGGAGAAAGUGUUUAUAGCCUUGUACCUCUGCAGUCGGAGAGAUUGAGGUCUGCAGCGUAGAUCCUUCUGGCUAGAUACAUUUGUGCUAAGUUAUAGGCUUUUCAUAGACAACUUGUUGACUAUGUUUAGUCUUGUAGCUUACUCGCAUAUGCUAUUUUACCUACGCUUAGGAUGUUGAACGCGCACAGAGUCUC